AUGAAAUUGUUUUGCGAGAAAAGAAAAUUUUCAAUCGCAAAUCAGUACUGUUGUGCGAGAAAACUUAAUUUCAAUCGCAAAACAAUGCCGUUGUACAGUAAUAUCUUGAUGGGAAAACUGAAAAACAACGAAGAGAUAAGCACCAUCGGCUUUCUCUGUGUGGUUACGAAUCAAAGAUUCGUUUUGGCUUUGUACACCACUACACCGCCGGUACGUAGAGUACGUUGGCGCCGGGUCAUUGCUCCGGCCGUGGUGAGCCGGUGGAAGCCGGGGAAGAUGCUGCGGGCGAUGCCGGAGGGGUCACGCUGCCGCUGCGGCCAUGCAGGAUGGAGCAGUCACUCCAAACGCCGGUCGUUGGCCGAGAUGUGCUCGCGCCGUGCACUGGCCUGCCGGAGGCAGUAUCGCCUUUGCGCCUCGAGGUUGAGACCGGGGAGCGUAGCCGGUGCGCCCCGCGAGAAUGAGCCCGCUGCGCCAUGGCCGAGCGGAGAGAACCGCAUCGGCCGCUGGCCGCUUGUGCCAUCGGGCUGCGAGCCGCGCCGGAGGAGAGCUGCGUGCUGCGCGCUGCGCCGCGAACGGUUGGGAACGACGCGCUAUGGUCGCUGGCCGCUGUCUCCACAUCGGAGCCGUGGGCCACAGCCGCCUCCUCCUUGGUUUGGUUGUCUCCAGACGCCGGCCGAGGCCGCGCCGUCUGAGCACUUCACCUCACGGCGAACGGGACGCCGCGGGGUCGAGGCCGCGUCAGAACCGAGGGCUGCAAGCGCACUGGGCACCGCCUCCCCGCCGGUGGAGGGCUGCGGCGUCGCGUGCCAGUUGAUGGCCACCGCCGCCUCGCAGUAUGCAUGUGAGAAACACGCGGCCAGCCACAUGUGCCGGUGCCGACGACCUUGCCAGGGUCAAUGGUCGCGCUGCACCGGAGGGCGCCGUGCAUCACCGAGCCCACUGGAGUGCGCUGUGUCCAAAUCCGCUGAUGCGCGGUGA
rnacentral:rRNA from 1 species